CUGGCUCAUUGGUACAUUUCAU
rnacentral:miRNA from 1 species